rnacentral:rRNA from 1 species
GACGUAGGAUGCAAGCGUUGUCCGGAAUUAUUGGGCGUAAAGAGUUCGUAGGCGGUUACUUAAGUCUGGUGUUAAAGACGGGAGCUCAACUCCCGCAUGGCAUUGGAUACUGGGUGGCUAGAGUGUGGUAGAGGUCUCGGGAAUUCCAGGUGUAGCGGUGAAAUGCGUAGAUAUCUGGAGGAACACCGGUGGCGAAAGCGCGAGACUGGGCCAUAACUGACGCUGAGGAACGAAAGCCAGGGGAGCGAAAGGG